CGAAUUUGUAGACAUCCUGGCAGCUUACAAUUAGUUCGAGGGUGCUGACCCAAAUCUGUGUGGACCAGAACGUACCAAAGAGAACUACAACUCUGCUGUUGAUCGCCUCCAGAUUGACAAUACACCAGACGUCGAAGGAGUGAAGUUCAGACACUGAAUUUGAGCAGAAACCAUAAGGAUACUCAAAGGACCUGUGACUCUCAGGAAAUGCAUCAAAUGAGAGGGACAGAUGAAACAGUUUCAAGACAGUGGCAGGAAAAACAUGCUGAAGAUUGAAACAAACCUUGGCUGGAAAUAUUUGGUAUCUAGCCAGUCCACAAUGAAAGCUUCGUUGCACCCCAUGAGUCUUCUGGCAGAAAUGAUGGCGCCUGUAUUCUUUGGUUUCCCUAAACAUCACACCCUGCCUGUUUAUACGAGGCUCUUCAAUUAAGUCUGCACCCAAAGAUUCAAUAAGAGGUAAGCAGUGGUAUUAUUCAAGUUUUGCUAAAGAAAGAUGGACAGGAGACACUAAUCUUAAU